rnacentral:misc_RNA from 1 species
GAAAUGCGAUACGUAGUGUGAAUUGCAGAAUUCCGUGAAUCAUCGAAUCUUUGAACGCAUAUUGCGCUCGAGACCUCGGUCAAGAGCAUGUCUGGCUCAGCGUCGGCUCACCCCCUCGCACCCCUUCCCGCCCUCUGUCCGCAGAGGCGUGGGUCUGGGGCGCGGACCUGGCCGUCUCUGUUCCCCUCGAGGGCGCAGGGUCGGCUGAAGAUCAGAGGCUUGAGCAUGGUCCCGCUGAAAGGGCGCCAGCUUGGUAGGGUAGCUAACGCUCCAUGCCGCUGUCGCCCCCAGGGUCCGUGCUGUAAAGUCGGCAGGAAUCGGUGGGGCUCGCCCCACCGUACUCUUACUUUCGACCUGAGCUCAGGCAAGACUACCCGCUGAACUUAA